UAGCAUCUCGUCGGAUGGGAGAAACCACCGAUGUCGGUCGAGUUCGUCUCCUUUCUUUAAAUCCCUUCUGACCUCGUGUACACCCGUGUGAGUGUGGGUGUGAGCACGAUAAGUGACGCCAAGUGACGCCCUCUUUCUCUUUAUCCCGCCUGGUAGAUUCUGCGGAUGAACUGAUGGAAUACCUGUGGAUGCUUGGCCGUGUUUUCCGAGCUUCAAGGAGGCCAAUCUCAGCAAUUUUUAAAUCCGGCGUUAAUCAUUUCACCGGAGAGUGAACGAUCCUUUGAAAAAUGGAGAAACGUAUUCAACCAGGAACUUGAGAAAACUGGGGCCACUUUUGAUUUAACGUCAACACUUCACAACAUUUUUGCCGCACUGAAAUCUUCUUCAUUCCCAACGGCGGUGGCUAAAAACAUCAGUCAACAAUGUUCACAAGACAGCCAGUUCUACGUUCAUAACCUCUACGCCAACCAAAGUCUCUGGUCCUUACAAAUGCAAGAGUCUUCAGCCAAACUUCCGCCGGGAUUGUUUGGAUCCAACAAUAUUCACGCGGAUGGACUUUUCGACGAAUGUCUGGCCAUCCGGGCACCUGGUUUUGAUGGACAAUAUUGCAUCGUCGCUUUUAAACCGACGGCCGUUGAUCCGUCCGAAAUUCUGCCUACGGGAUCAUU